rnacentral:rRNA from 1 species
GGCGGACGGGUGAGUAACGCGUAAGAACUUGCCCUUUAGACUGGGAUAACAGAGGGAAACUUCUGAUAAUACUGGAUAAGUUAGUAUAUCGCAUGAUAUGCAAAUGAAAGCUACGGCACUAAAGGAGAGCUUUGCGUCCUAUUAGCUAGUUGGUAAGGUAAGAGCUUACCAAGGCGAUGAUAGGUAGCCGGCCUGAGAGGGUGGACGGCCACAAGGGGACUGAGAUACGGCCCUUACUCCUACGGGAGGCAGCAGGA